AGUGCACGCCGGGACCGGGAUUCCCGGAGCCCGACUCCGCCCCUGCCCCGCGAAUGCCGGGAAUUGUGGUCUCUGCGGGACGCGAGCUCUGAGGUGGCCCAAGGGCCCGCGAGGCAUGCUGGGGCCGCUAGCCCUUCCGGGGCGCUUCAGGAUUUCGGGUCCUGGCACCCUGGGCGGACGCCCGGAGACUCCGCCUUCCCAGGAGCCCCUGCGGCGGGGCGCAAAGAUGGCGGCGGCGCCCGAACUCCCCUAGAGCAGCUGCGAUGGAACCUCCCCCGGCGCCGGGGCCGGAGCGGCUCUUUGACUCGCACCGGCUCCCGGGUGACGGCUUCCUGCUCCUCGCGCUGUUGCUCUACGCGCCCGUCGGGUUCUGCCUUCUCGUCCUGCGCCUCUUUCUUGGGAUCCACGUCUUCCUGGUCAGCUGCGCGCUGCCAGACAGCGUCCUUCGCAGGUUCGUGGUCCGGACCAUGUGUGCGGUGCUGGGGCUCGUGGUCCGGCAGGAGGACUCAGCACUCCGGGAUCAUCGUGUCAGGGUCCUCAUUUCCAACCACGUAACACCUUUCGACCACAACAUAGUUAACCUGAUCACCAGCUGUAGCACCCCUCUACUCAACAGCCCCCCCAGUUUUGUGUGCUGGUCUCGGGGCUUCAUGGAGAUGGAUGGGCGUGGAGAGUUGGUGGAGUCACUCAAGAGAUUCUGUGCUUCCACGAGGCUUCCCCCAACCCCUCUGCUGCUAUUCCCCGAGGAAGAGGCCACCAAUGGCCGGGAGGGGCUCCUGCACUUCAGUUCCUGGCCAUUUUCCAUCCAGGAUGUGGUACAGCCUCUUACCCUGCAAGUCCAGAGACCCCUAGUCUCUGUGACGGUGUCAGAUGCCUCCUGGGUCUCAGAACUACUGUGGUCACUUUUCGUCCCUUUCACGGUGUAUCAAGUAAGGUGGCUCCGUCCUGUUCAUCGCCAGCUAGGGGAGGGGAAUGAGGAGUUUGCCCUCCGUGUACAACAGCUGGUGGCCAAAGAAUUGGGCCAGACAGGGACACGACUCACUCCAGCAGACAAAGCAGAGCACAUGAAACGACAAAGACACCCCAGAUUGCGUCCCCAGUCAGCCCAGUCUUCUUUCCCUCCCUCCCCAGGCCCUUCUCCUGAUGUACAGUUGGCAACUUUGGCUCAGAGAGUCAAGGAAGUUUUACCCCAUGUGCCACUGGUCGUCAUCCAGAGAGACCUAGCCAGGACUGGCUGCGUAGACUUGACCAUCACUAAUCUGCUUGAGGGAGCCGUAGCUUUUGUUCCUGAAGAUAUCACUGAAGGGACCCAGUCCCUUCCCACAGUCUCCGCCCCCAAGGCAUUCGAUGCGUGUUUAAUGAUGAUGACUUCGCAAGCCCUCUGACAUUGUGAUCACCUCAGUUUCCCAGCUCUGGCCCGGUGACCCCUCAGCCCACAGCCCUUACAUUUGCCAAGUCCUCCUGGGCCCGGCAGGAGAGCCUACAGGAGCGAAAACAGGCACUGUAUGAGUAUGCGAGAAGGAGAUUCACAGAAAGACAGGCCCAGGAGGCUGACUGAGCACAAGAUGGGAUGGUACCCAGAACCGCAGGACGGAGACUGGGGGCAGCCCUCACCCAACUCACAACAGGCUGGAUGGGUGGGUGGUAGAAAGGGAGGGAUGGGGCUCCCCCCAAUAUCACAUUAAAUUCAGGGUUUUCACUCAA